CUAAAUCAACUGAGACAAGUUUCUGCCUAGGAUGCCUUGAUGUGUUGAUACUCACAGGAUGCAAUCUCCCUCCUUUGUCAAGUGAAUACACUAAGGAUGUUGGAUCCAAAAGUCAGUUAGUGACAGCUAAUCCCAGCAUAAUUCGGCAAAGGAGCGGUGGAUGAUUGGAUAAACUACUUCAGAGCAGAAGAGUAUUUAAUGAACUAUUCACAGAGAAGAUGAAACACAGUGAACUGUGCCUCUUAAUCCAUUCUGAGUGUAAUAAGAAAUUUUACCCAUCCUCCUUCAAACAUAAAGGUGAGACGGGAAAGUGGGCUGGAGUUGAGCAGAGUUCAGAGUUCUCCUAGCUAGGAACUGUCACAGCCACC
rnacentral:lncRNA from 1 species